rnacentral:rRNA from 1 species
CAGAGGUCCCAAGCGUUGUUCGGAUUCACUGGGCGUAAAGGGUGCGUAGGCGGUCGGGUAAGUCUGAUGUGAAAUCUCACAGCUUAACUGUGAAACUGCAUUGGAUACUAUUCGGCUUGAGAGUUGGAGGGGGGACUGGAAUUCUUGGUGUAGCAGUGAAAUGCGUAGAUAUCAAGAGGAACACCAGUGGCGAAGGCGAGUCCCUGGACAACUUCUGACGCUGAGGCACGAAAGCUAGGGGAGCAAACAGG